rnacentral:rRNA from 1 species
UACGGGGGGGGCAAGCGUUGUUCGGAAUUAUUGGGCGUAAAGGGCGCGUAGGCGGUGCGGUAAGUCAUCUGUGAAAUCUCCCGGCUCAACUGGGAGUCUGCAGGCGAAACUGCCGUGCUGGAGUGUGGGAGAGGUGAGUGGAAUUCCCGGUGUAGCGGUGAAAUGCGCAGAUAUCAGGAGGAACACCAAUUGCGAAGGCAGCUCGCUGGGACGUAACUGACGCUGAGACGCGAAAGCGUGGGGAGCAAACAGG